rnacentral:rRNA from 1 species
UGACCUCAGAUCAGACUAGACUACCCGCUGAAUUUAAGCAUAUUAAUA